AAUUGAAGAGAGUACAGAGGGAGGAAAUCACUUGCAACCAGACAGAAGGUGUUUAUGCUGAGGAAAACCUACCAAAAAUAAAACUGAACUGAAAACCUGUCACUGAGCUGUUUGGACAAGGAGAUGAGAAGCAGCUAAGAAAAAUAUGGAGGUCCAGGCUAAAUUUGAUGACUCCCUCUCUGCUGCCACUUUCCUCUCGGAUGGACCCCUCGGGGUCCAAGAGUGUCACGGACUGCUGCACCACCCCAUCCCGAUGUCCGUCACCCCCAGCACAGCCUUAUGCCUUCUCCCCAUCCCACCUCAACCCUGCAGUGCCGCUUUGCAGAGGCAGAUUAUACUUGAUGACUUCAUCUUAAUCACAUUGUUUCAUUUUCUUUUAUCAGUGUAGCCGUCAUGCUACACUGGCUGCAAAAUACUCCAGAAGUGGGUUCACACAAGCCUCUUAUGCAUUCACAUGUAGGGGAGAGGAAUGCUCACAACCCAGAACUGCUUUUGAUUAAUUUGAAGGAAAAACUUUAAAGUCAAAUGCUGGAUGAUUAAAUUACUUUUUAAAUG